AGUGAACGCUGGCGGUAGGCCUAACACAUGCAAGUCGAACGGCAGCACAGUAAGAUCUUGCUCUUACGGGUGGCGAGUGGCGGACGGGUGAGGAAUACAUCGGAAUCUACUUUUUCGUGGGGGAUAACGUAGGGAAACUUACGCUAAUACCGCAUACGACCUACGGUUGAAAUCAGGGGAGCUUCGGACCUUGCGCGAUUCAAUGAGCCGAUGUCGGAUUAGCUAGUUGGCGGGGUAAAGGCCCACCAAGGCGACGAUCCGUAGCUGGUCUGAGAGGAUGAUCAGCCACACUGGAACUGAGACACGGUCCAGACUCCUACGGGAGGCAGCAGUGGGGAAUAUUGGACAAUGGGCGAAAGCCUGAUCCAGCCAUACCGCGUGGGUGAAGAAGGCCUUCGGGUUGUAAAGCCCUUUUGUUGGGAAAGAAAAGCAGCAGGUUAAUACCCCGCUGUUCUGACGGUACCCAAAGAAUAAGCAACGGCUAACUUCGUG
rnacentral:rRNA from 1 species